rnacentral:lncRNA from 1 species
UAUAGCUUUCCUGAACAACUCACUAUUCCAAGUCAAUGCCAUUUUCUUACCUUGGCGACUGCUGUUCACUUCUGUCUGGAAUGAUGUUCUCUACCUUAACCUCCUCUUUCCUCCAUUCUUAAUCACUAUCUGUUGAAAUCCUAGUUAUGCUGAAAUCCUAGUCAUUCUUCAAGAUCAAGCUCAAGUAUAUUUUCCUUGAAACCUCUCUUAUAAUCCCAAUCAUAAUUUACUUCUUCAGCCUCCUAAAUUUUGUGUGUGUAUGUGGGGUUUGAACCACUUUUUGUAUUCUCUGUGCAAUGUGCCUUUUGUUCUGCAUUACAAUUAUUUUCAUGGCUGUCUUGUCUAUUAUUCUAGCCUUAAGUUUCAUAAUGGUAAAAAAAUAUCUUAUUUCUAAAUGCUUGCUCCACAGAAUUUAGCACAAUGCUUUGUAAGACGUAAGGAUUAAAGAUUACUUGAAUGGAUGGAUGCUCAUACUUGGGGU